rnacentral:snoRNA from 12 species
GCUUCUUUACGGGAGAGAGGCAUGGGGUGAGGUUUGAAUGGAGUUAUGCUGUGUCGCGUGAAAGGCGCGUGCGUGUCGAGUGUGUGAGUGGAUGCGCGAGUGCUAGUGGGCGCGCGUGGAGAGUGCAAGAGGAGUGCGUGCACCCGCUCCUGCGCCCCUCUUCCCGCCUACACCUUGAUCUUAUUUGAUCGGGUCGUGACCCCAGCCCCGCCGGGCCAACCCGAAAUGAAAAGAUCCCCUCCUGCGAAGCCCCUCGGGGCGCUGUGCGGCGAGGCCCUUUGGGCGGCGGUAGCGCUGCGGUCCCCGAGGUCCCGGAGCCGGUCCGAGGGGGCCCGGCGCUCAGAAAUGAUGAACUGAUCAGAUAGACGAGGCUGGGCUUGUCCCGGGCCGCUGAUUAUCGAGGCGAUUCUGAUCUGA